UACCAACACUAGUGGGCCAUUUUUGGUA
rnacentral:misc_RNA from 1 species